rnacentral:rRNA from 1 species
GUAUACGGGGGAUGCAAGCGUUAUCCGGAAUCAUUGGGCGUAAAGCGCCUGUAGGUGGUUUAAUAAGUCUGUUGUUAAAGACUAGGGCUUAACCCUAGAAAAGCAAUGGAAACUACUAGACUUGAGUAUGGCAGGGGUAGAGGGAACUUCUAGUGUAGCGGUGAAAUGCGUAGAUAUUAGAAAGAACACCAGCGGCGAAAGCGCUCUACUGGACCAUUACUGACACUCAGAGGCGAAAGCUAGGGUAGCAAAAGGGAUUAGAUACCCCUGUAGUCCUAGCCGUAAACGAUGGAUACUAAAUGUUGUAUAUAUUUUACAGUAUUGUAGCUAACGCGUUAAGUAUCCCGCCUGGGGAGUACGCUCGCAAGGGUGAAACUCAAAGGAAUUGACGGGGGCCCGCACAAGCGGUGGAGCAUGUGGUUUAAUUCGAUGCAACGCGAAGAACCUUACCAGGGCUUGACAUACUACGAAUCUUUUUGAAAGAAGAGAGUGCCUUCGGGAACGUAGAUACAGGUGGUGCAUGGCUGUCGUCAGCUCGUGUCGUGAGAUGUUGGGUUAAGUCCCGCAACGAGCGCAACCCUUAUUUUUAGUUACCAAUUUUAAUUGGGUUCUCUAGAAAGACUGCCGGUGACAAACCGGAGGAAGGUGAGGAUGACGUCAAGUCAGCAUGCCCCUUAUGUCCUGGGCCACACACGUGCUACAAUGGUUAGAACAAAGAGUUGCGAGUUUGCGAAAACAAGCUAAU